rnacentral:rRNA from 1 species
GAUGAACGCUGGCGGCGUGCCUAAUACAUGCAAGUCGAGCGAACGGACGAGAAGCUUGCUUCUCUGAUGUUAGCGGCGGACGGGUGAGUAACACGUGGAUAACCUACCUAUAAGACUGGGAUAACUUCGGGAAACCGGAGCUAAUACCGGAUGAUAUUUUGAACCGCAUGGUUCAAAAGUGAAAGACGGUCUUGCUGUCACUUAUAGAUGUAUCCUCGCUGCAUUAGCUAGUUGGUAAGGUAACGGCUUACCAAGGCAACGAUGCAUAGCCGACCUGAGAGGGUGAUCGGCCACACUGGAACUGAGACACGGUCCAGACUCCUACGGGAGGCAGCAGUAGGGAAUCUUCCGCAAUGGGCGAAAGCCUGACGGAGCAACGCCGCGUGAGUGAUGAAGGUCUUCGGAUCGUAAAACUCUGUUAUUAGGGAAGAACAUAUGUGUAAGUAACUGUGCACAUCUUGACGGUACCUAAUCAGAAAGCCACGGCUAACUACGUG